GUCAGUGCACGGUUUGUGUUGUUGGAUUAUCGGGAAACGGUUUGUGUGAUCCCGCUGAGCCGGUGCUCUUCUUCUCUUUCUCUUCUUCUCAAGGCAACAUUAGGCGCAUCUUUGGAUUACUUAAAUUUUUCUUUAAGAUCAACCUUCCGAGGACUGCGGAAUCAUUCUUUCUUUCGAAUACAUACAAAUCAAGAAACCUGGAAACCUAAUUGCUGAAAAUUGCGUCAGCUGACGAUUAAUAUUAGGUAAAA